CCCUUGUGGAGGAGGACGCCGAAGGUGGGGCUAAUGACUGGGGUGAAGUCGUAACAAGGUAGCCGUACCGGAAGGUGCGGCUGGAUCACCUCCUAACAGGGAGACAACAAAAUGUUAAAUAUUAAUUUUGUCACCUUAGGUCGAUCGGUAUCUCACAUCCUUAAAUUUAUUAAGGAUUUUAUUUCCUAAGUUUUUUCUAGGUCACACCCAUUUUUUCCCUGGGCCAUUAGCUCAGGUGGUUAGAGCGCACCCCUGAUAAGGGUGAGGUCCCUGGUUCAAGUCCAGGAUGGCCCAUAUCUCUAUGUUGGGGGUAUAGCUCAGUUGGUAGAGCGCCUGCUUUGCAAGCAGGAUGUCAGCGGUUCGAGUCCGCUUACCUCCACUGAUUACCACCUCUUCCAUAAUUUAUUGAAGGGAAAUGUUUUUGGUGUGAUCGAAUUCUGAACGAAUCUAGCUUCCUAAUCAAAUUUAUUAAGAUGCUGGACUCAUUGAAUUAACUUCAUUGUUUUCAGAGAACCUUGACAACUGCAUAGAUUAUUUUAAAGACAAUAAGCAUCUUUAAUGAUGCAGAUUUAUUAUUUGUGCGAAUGCAUUAAUAACAAUUCUAUUGAGCUGAUGCUUCAAAUUUUUGAAGUUAUUGGUCAAGCUACAAAGGGCUCACGGAGGAUACCUAGGCACACAGAGGCGA
rnacentral:misc_RNA from 1 species